rnacentral:rRNA from 1 species
AUGAGCAUCCCGGUGAACGGGCAGUCGGUGGUGCCGCCGGGGUUCCGGUUCCACCCCACGGAGGAGGAGCUGCUCACGUACUACCUCGCCAAGAAGGUGGCCUCGCAGCGCAUCGACCUCGACGUCAUCCGCGACGUCGACCUCAACAAGCUCGAGCCAUGGGACAUCCAAGAGCGCUGCCGGAUCGGAACUGGCCCGCAGAACGACUGGUACCUGUUCAGCCACAAGGACAAGAAAUACCCCACGGGCACGCGCACCAACCGCGCCACGGCCGCCGGGUUCUGGAAGGCUACCGGCCGGGACAAGGCCAUCUACUCUGCCGCUGGCUCCGGCCGCAUCGGCAUGCGCAAGACGCUCGUCUUCUACAAGGGCCGCGCCCCGCACGGCCACAAGUCCGACUGGAUCAUGCACGAGUACCGCCUCGACGACGCCGCAACAACUGGCAAAAACCCAGCCAACCCAGCCGCCGGGAACGCCCCCUACUACUCCGGCGGCUCAUCCCCGAUGGGCGGCGUGGCGGGGGACCAGUCGUCGGCGCAGGAGGACGGGUGGGUCAUCUGCAGGUUGUUCAAGAAGAAGAACAUCGCCGUGCAGCACCAAGCUGGCCAGAACGCCGGCAGUGGUGCCGCGGCGUCCAACAACCUGGUCGGCGCCGGUGCCAUGGCGCGCAGCCGGAGCAACUGCUCGUCGACGGUGGCCACCGCCAGCGACCACGCCAAGGCUACCCAGAUACAGCAGCAUUACUCCGCCAGCGACGACGGCGCGCUUGACCAUAUUCUCAACCAGUACAUGCACGGCCGCUCGUCCACGACGUCGUGCAAGCAGGAGACCACCAACCCAUCAUCGUCAGCGCUGGACCACCUGAUCAACAGCGCGGGCCACAACGGCGGCAGCACCCUAUACGAGAAGUUCAUGAAGCUCCCGCCGCUCGAGCACGUGGUUCCCGGCGGGCUCCUGCCGCCGCCGACCGAGCACAGCGGCGACUGGGACGCCCUUGACCAGCUCGUCGCGUACGAGCUCAACGGCCUGUCCGACGCCCCGUCGGCCAAGACGACGAAUGGCAUGCCCUUCAUCGUCGACGAACUCAGCGGCGCCACGCCCUUCUCCGGUGGUGGCACGCUACACGUUUCCUCGAUCACAGGCGCCAGCGACGGCGACCUGUGGAGCCUAGCGCGGUCCGUGUCAUCGCUACACGCCGACUUGAGGAUAAACUCCUUUAACGCUGUCGGAUGCUGA